UGAUAUCUUACAGUCUUGUUUAUUAUGUUGCCUGCCAAAUUCUUCCUUUUGUUUAUCUGCUAUAACAACAAAUAAGGCUGUCAACCUUAUUUGUUGUCGUAGUGACAAACAGUUCUAGUUCUCUAUGGACAUGUUAGAAAAUCGAAGGGCGUGAUAUUAUGCCACCAGGUGUGAGUGUGAUUAAGAUAUUCUGCCAUUCAAAGCCGGCAGAAUAUCAAAGAGCUUUUAUGGCUAUUCACACUCACACUUGGUGGCCUAAUAUCACCCCUUUAAAAAACUAUUCAAAUUCACAAUUCCACUUCAUAAUAUGAGAAUUGUAACUAUGUAUGUAUAUAGUGGCCAUCGCCCUUGAGACGUGUGAGAAGUUUUGGGUUAAUUUCCACAAAAAUGAUCAAAUGCUUAACGCUAUCAGGGCAUUUGCUCUCGAGCUGUGACUCGGAUUCACUCCGAAUCGCUUGGGGACCCUCACCUCAUUGCACCCUACUGACUUGUGACUGGUCACCGUCAAUUGUUGCCAUCUAUGCAUUGCGAUAGUAAGAAUUCACAUUCACCAGUGACUGCUUUGGUUGUUUGGCAAGGGAAAAAGAAAAUUGGUCACAGAGGAAAGACAUCCUUCUGUUCCUUUUUUAAGUUAGAGUGUCCCGGUUGGAUGAGGUUGAUGGAUGACUGACUCAUCCCUGUUGAAUCCCGUCCUCUGUUUUUAUUUGUUGACAGGUAUUCCUGACAUUGACAACAAAAACAAUGUGAAAUUAAUCAUCCUCUGUCGGUCGGCCUUCGUCAUUCCCAUAAUCAUUCUGAUAAUCUUUUAUUGCUGGAGGAAAAAGAAGCAUCAUACAGAAAACCUCGAUUCUGAACAGAGUCCAAACUGUGACCAAGCUCCCGCCAUCUCUUUGAAUGUGAGCCUGUUAGGACCCCCUCAUCUCCCUUUGGAGCCCACUGACAUAGAACUCAGCCCCAGAAGCACCUAGGAGGCUCUAUGGGAGAUAUUGACUGUAGGUUUAAACUUCUGCUGCCCCUGAGAUGAACCCCGGUUACUGAGCUGACUCCAAGUGGACCCCUUAAAGCUGUGAACCCCUCUAAUCCUGGCUCACCUCAUCCUGACAGGAGGAGAAGGGGAGGGCUUUAUGACAGCCACAAUGAACAAAGGAGCCCCCUUCAUUCUUCCUCUCACUUUACUUAGAAUGACUUGUGUUAAUGUUAACUACUUAAUGUUACAAUCAAAGACCGCCUGCUUUAUGAAUGUAUUCCAAAAUCACCUAUGUGGCUUUUUCAUUUGAAUGCAUGCUUAUUGUCUUGGGAGAAGGGAUUGUCAUUGUUCUCGUGCAUGUCACAUCUUUAUGUUAACCCAUAUAUGUGGUAUAGAGGUUUGAUUCCUGUGAUUAUACUUGGCCACUUUACUCAAGGUUGCAUGGCCCGAUGCAUCGGGUGUUGUGAUUGGCUAGUGCAUGUGAGAGGCAUCCAAAAUCUUUCAUUUUGCGCUUGUGUCUUUAUCUUUCAAACUUCCGCUUACUCAACCAAUAUUAUUUCCGUCUUUUCCGCCAUUUUCACGUUAUUACUAUAUACGUCAACCCAGUCAAACCUUGUACAAUGCUAGGUAUAGAAAAGAAAGCGGCAAGUGCUAGGUCGUGGAUGCUGGCCUGACGAGGAAGUGACGCAGUUCCCGCCCAGACGCAAUUGGCUGAAAUGUUUAGUAAAACUUUUUGCAAUACUUUCUGCGGAAUGAAAUGAAAUUUGAAUUUCGCAACACACGGAGCGUGGCGAAGUGCAUUGCAAUCAGGGGGACGCUAUAGCAUUUCAAUUUAAAUAUAAGAACUCAAAAUAAUUGACAAAAUGUUAUUCUAUUUUUAUUGAAUUUCAUUGACCCUUUGCAUAUUA